rnacentral:lncRNA from 1 species
ACGGGUUUCUACAUUCUCCCCCUCUUAAUAGAAUUCGUCCUCGAAUUCUUAGUUGCGCAAUUUCUCAUCUUCGCGACAUUCUCCACUCGUCUCCAUAACCUCUUUACUCUGUCCACAAUCGUUCCUUAAGUGUCCUCCUCAAGGCCUCCACAAUCGCCUUCAGUUGAAUGAUCGCUGGAUCAUCUCUUACUGUUGCUCUGCCAUAACACUCUGGUUCCCCAUGAUACGAACUUGUCCAGAUUCCUCAAAUCCUUCUCGAUCUUCCUUUUCCCAAAUACUGAUGAAGUCCUUUCCCAACGAAGUCUUGUUUCCUCCCAUCUGUCCAGUCCAUACCACAGCCCAGUUC